UAUUAGGAGUAUAAUGGUUAAAAUGCUGGAUUCCAAAGCCAGAGGGCCUGGGUUCAAAUCCCAACUUAGUAG
rnacentral:tRNA from 1 species